CCGUUAUUUGUGUGUGUGUGGGGGGGGGGGGGGAUAGGUAGAUAGAUAAGAUAGACCACUAUAUGAAACACCACUAAUACAUAGAUAGAGAAAGGGAUAUAUAUCUAUUUAUAUAUAUCUAUCUAUAUAUCUAUCUCUAUACCUAUCUCUAUUCAUAUCUAUAUAUAUUCUAUAUCUAUCUCUAGAUAGAUUUAGCUAUUACACUGUCGGUCGAUAGAUAGAUAGAUAGAUAGAUAGAUAGAUAGAUAGAUAUAGUAGUGUUUCAUUUUAAUCAAGGAAAAUUGUGGAUUUGGGAUUCCUUUUUUUAACUGAAAAUUGGGGAUUUUUUUUUUUUUAAUCAGAGAAAACCAGUAUCUCUGGUGAUAACGGAAUUACCCAUGUCUCGGCCUGAUCUAUAUGCACCCCGGCCUCCUAAUGCUCCCCUACCCCUAACCAAAGCCAACCUCAGCUAACCUGGCACAGGUACUGCCCCAUUUGCCCAUUGCGGGCGCUUCGCCCUGCCAGGGGCUCUGAAGAUGCUUUCCACGUAGGCUCAUUUUGAAAUUCCUUAUCCAAAUAUUUCGGUAAAAGUAAAUGGUUUUUAGCGGUUAACUCCCUUCUUGGAUCCACACGCAUUUUGCUUUGCUGCGCACUUUGCAUUUUGAUUUGCUGUGGCUUCCUGUAUCCAGAAGAAAACCAUGCUAAACAUAACUGCAGGGAAUGUCUGGAUGAAUCUCUGUCCCCACGCACUGCUUCCCCUUCCCAGUUCGUUGGGAGGCAAGUGAGCACAUUUUCUACCUCGGUCCUGGAACUGCAAGGAUGACAAGGAAGCAAGAACAGCCUGAACAUCCUUCCCCAGGGUGUAAGACCAAACAGAUGCACUGAAACGGUCCUGGAGUCCUCCCUCCGCUCUUUUCACCGAUGGAGGUGUUUGGCAACCCAGCCCUUUCAUUCCCAUAAUCUGCUUCAGGGCUUUAGCAGACAGCAGAAGAGCGAGAGUAAUGUUAUCUCAGAGCCCUCGUGCUAAUCAAUGUGUUCAUAUGUUGGACAUCCCCCUUGCCUGUUUUAUAGGGUUUCGCUGGCCGUGUUUUAAUGGGCUGGGUCAUUGAGACUGAUGCUAGCGAGGUUAUUAGGAUUAAGUAACCUAAUUAAUCGUGUGACCAUUAGUAGGCUUUGAACGAAGGUUGUUUUCCGUGUAACAUGGUUUUGUGUCUCUUAACGCGGAUAGUUAUUUAAGCUGUACCUACAAAACGGCUAGGGAGGUCUUCUUUGUUUAAGCAGAGUCGCUUAGGCACAGAAAUAGCUUUAGUUGUGCAGCUACAGACAGAGCUGCUCGCUACCCCGUCUGCUUCUGUAAGAACCAAAAACUGCUUUUUUUAAGCACAGAAGUCAGUGAAACCGAUCGCUGUGGACUUUUCGAUACUGUCUGACACAACAAUGUGCACCGAGAUUUCUCCCUGAACUCCUUGGGGAAACCAGCAUCGCUGGCAGAGAAAAAGAGAGAAAUUCACACACACACACACACACACACACACACACACACGUAUGUAUAUAUGUAUAUGUGUAUAUGCACAUAAACACACACAUGUAUAUCUAUAUAUAUCGUGUGUGAGUAUAUAUAUACACACAUCUACAUAUCUAUACUGGCCCUAUGUGUGUAUAUAUAUACACACACACACAUAUAUAUCUACACACACACGCGAGCGCGCACGCACACACGCGCACACACAUAUAUAUAGCCAAUGUAUCUUUCUCUCUGUGCCAGCCUUUCUUUGUGCUUGUUAUUGGCUUGUCUGAGCGACGCUGGUUUCACAUACAGAUGUUUGCAUAUGUGUGUGUGUGUAUACAUGUAUAUGUAUAUAUGUGUGUAAAUGUGUGUGUGUAUGUACACACACAUAUAUACACAUAGAUAUACAUGCAUACAUAUAAUCUCUCUCUCUAGAUAGAUAGAUAGAUAGAUAGAUAGAUAGAUAGAUAGAUAGAUAGAUAUCCUCGUGCUAUUUAGAAAACAAUUGGCAGCAUUUAUUUUUUUUAAAGAGUUUGCUUUUAUUUUGCAGGGCGAACCAGGACCUGGGAGCAAAGAAGAUGGUUAUAUGGAAAUCCCAAGCACCGGUAAACCAAAAGGAAGCGACGUUUCACUGGAGAAGCGAGCCGCCGCAGGGUAAUGACGACGCGGGGACCCGGCUUGCUGCGCGGUGGGACACCCCCGAGGGCAGUGCCCGGGGCUCGGUGGCGCGUGGCUGGGACCGCCCGGACACGCCGGAGCCCACAACCUGCCCGGCUCCGGCAGCGGCCGCAAUCCCGGCCUGGCAGCUCUCUUCCCGGCCCGGGAGGAAGGGCCACUCCGCCCCGCCGGGAGCCCCCGCCGGCCUUGGCUCGUCCCCUGCCACCGCCAGCACCGGCGGGGACCCGCGGCUCGCAGCCUGCCCUCUAGCGCCACCUACCGCCCCCUUCCCGCAUGGAAAAACGAGACCUUUUGGCACCCGGAUUUCCACUGCACAGCGGAGAAACUUGCACACGCCGUUGAUCGCCCCCAGGAGGGAGCGCUUGAAUGUAGGUGUAGCCCACGGGCUGUCAUCCUCGCUCGGGACAUCCCCUCCGCGCGGCGGACCUCCGCUUAGUUAGGGCAGUGUUAAUGGCUAAAUCUAUCUAUCGAUCGAUCGAUCGAUCGAUAGAUAGAUGUAGCAAUUAACCGUGCCCUAAUUAAACGGAUACUUGAUUAUAGAUAUAGAUAUAGCCCGAACUGCUCUCACGUUUUGAACGCUGGAGGCACUGAGGAAGCACUUGACUGAAGCGCGGGUGGAGCAGGGCGGCGCGGUGCCGGGUGAGGCCAGGUGCUGGUGUCGGGCCAGCCCUGCUCUGCCCGGCCGGGCUCCCCGCCUGGGUUUGCUGGGCUCCGCGGUGCGGUGUUGGGAGCCACAGGCGAUGCGAAGGCUCAGGGGAGCCCACCGGGAAUCCGGAGCAAGGGGUCCAGCGGGGGUCUUCAUCUGGCUUUGGAUCCGGCUUGCGGUUCAGCGCUACCCGCACUUAUAGGGAGUGCGGGAUGACGAGGUGAGAGGCCACUGGGACAGGGACGGGCGGGGAAAGGACCAGCCACCCCGCAGCCAGGUACCGGACCCCCACGUGGAGGAGUGCAGUGGCGGGGAGGGGAGUUCAGCUCGCAGGGGUCGUGGGCUCCGGGGGGGCUGGCACCGCUGUGCGGGGCGGGGAGACAUUGCUGCUCCCUUGUGACCGUCCUGUCCUUACCGCGGGUAGCCCGGACCUACAGACCUGAGCAUCAGAGGGAUGGGCGGUCGGGGACAAGGUGAACAUACACCAGUGAGUCUCUCCCGCGGAAACUUCGCUUACGAGCACAUGGUUUCUUACUAAUUGUGCGGAAAAAAAUGCCUUCCUUUCCCCUUUUUUUAAUGACAUGUCCCUGAAGCCGUCAUGGAGAUGGAUACAGUGUUUCCAGAAACCGAUGACACAUUUUUCCAGAUAUAAAAUGAUAUAAUUGCAAAAAGCACCAGCCUAAACCUGACUACACGUUUCCGGGGGGAAAAGGGGACCCUCCAUCAUUAUGUGUUUCACCUACAGGCUGUGCUAAAUAAUGUACACUAAAUAAUGUACGCUAAAUAAGGAUAAAGUCUCCACCCUCUGGGGAUUGUUUCUGAAGGUAUUUACUGCCAGAGGAGUUCAUCUUCCUUUUCCUUGGACCACUCACUAUCUGCCCAGCACCUGCUCUCUGCUGUUCAGCUGGGUUUGAGAUUUUCCUGGGCUCCUCCGAUGUAUAACCCCUCAAAGAAGGUGCCAGCCAGUGACCAGUGCCCAUUAAAGGCCCCUUCUCCAGACCACUGAUGGCAACUCGACUUUUUCCUACCACUUCCUGCGGAGCAGCUCUGCCCUCCCUCCCCAGGAUGGGAAUUGUCCUGGCCAGUCUGUUACCGCAUCGACGGAAGAGGAUGUGCAACUUAGUGGAAACGUGUCAGGGCAAUCGGGCCGGAGCCAAAGUCCGCUGUAGGCAUUUGAACAUUUCUCCUUGCCUCCUGGACCCUCUGGAUCCAGCCCUUGGUGAGCCAGAUCUCGAUCACAGCUGGGACUUAAUUUUGCUAAACCACUUCUUAAUACCUGAGGCUGCCUGGAUCUCCAGACAGAUCCAACGCGACUGCCAGAUGAGGAUGACAGCUCAGCUCUCCUGUGAAAUACGGAUUUGCAUUUCGACCUAGAAGGACUUGUGCAACCCCUGCUGUCUCCCAUGUCUGGAGGAGGGCGAGUGCGCCCGACAGCUUGCAGUACUAGGCGCAUUCAGCAGACAGUGACACUGGCUCUUCCCCCAUCCACUACAAGCCUCUGAAACUCAUUCUUAAUCUUCCACAACCUGACAGAUACCAAGUGCCAGCAUCUUAACCACCAGGCAGGUGACACGCUGCCAGCUCUAAGCACAACCCCUUCCAACUUUACACACAGAUCAAGCAACUCUCAUUAUCUCAGUUCCCACCAGCAAUCCCUAUUCAAAAUCUGCAUGUUACCCAAGGUUACCUGCCAUCACCACUCACUGGCAUUGUGGAAUUUGAGUGUGCUAUAAUAAGGAACUGCAGGUGAUUUAAGGUCCUGUGAGGGAAAAGAAUGAGAACCCUGUCUUUGAAUGGUGAUAACCCAAAUUGCUGUCCAAAUAAACCCCAUGUUUCCUAAUGGCACUUGGGAAAUGCACUUAAGUGAGUACUUUCUAUAUUUCUUUGUAGGCUAAAAGUUACUUGGGGAAAGGCAAUGUAGUGUAAUUGUUUUGCUACUACUUGGACAUAUGGUAUCUGGAAUGAACUGCUGCAACUUCAAAUGACAUCUUUGUUCUAUGGUUCUGAUCCUGAAAAUACCUGCAUGCAUACUGUAAUACAAGUCACCUGAAGGCAUCAGGACUUAAACUAAGUUUAGCAAAGGAACUUUGGCAAUUCAAAUAGUCCAAAACUACAGUCCUCAAAACCAUUCUCUAACCCUUUAUGGGCCUAAAGACUGUAGGCACAUAAAUCUUUACUAGCAAAGCUUCAUAAGCACCUCUGCCUUGAAUCUCAGUCUUUGCAUGGCAUAGUUCAAGAUUCACAGGGUCAGAAAGCAAGUAGGAACAUUACCCUGUAGUUACGUCACUCACCUAGGAAGGGGAGUUCUUUCCAAACGUAUAAUUAGCAGGGUUUGUUUGCUUACUUCACUGCUCUGGAAGUCCUACCUGCUGCCACAGCAAAGUCUGCCUACCCCAGUUAUCGAUACUAUAGUGACACCACAGGGUCUUUGCACCUGGCUGCUACUGCAACAGCAGCAGUGGAGGGCUGCAGUUUGCUACCCUGGCAUGGCCUCACCCAGGAAGCUACCAUUUUGGUACCCCAAAUAAGUUGGUGCCCCUUACCCACCCCACAUUGCAUUACGGGUGCUUGCCUCCUACCCUGCAGACCAGUUUACAUUUAGCAGUCACUGGAUAAAAUAACCAGACCUCAGAUCAGAAACUGUUACUCAGGUCAUAAAAUAAAUGCAAGAUCAGAUCCUGCACUCCUAUUAUACGGAACUGAAAGUAACUGGAGAAACUUUUAAAUACGGAGUGGAGAAUCAGGUAUAACUAAAAGCAAUUUGAACCAAAUUCUCCUCCUGCAUAUUUCAAUCCAGUCUGUCAAAGUAAUUUAUUCAGAUAAAUGUUUUAAGAGCCAAGCAUUGGUAAUAAAAAUGGAAAUCUCAGCUUCUCAUUCUGACAAUCACAUUAGAGUUUCCCAUACUGUGCGCAACCAGGUUCUGGGAUGUAUAAUCUCUGGGCAAGUGAAAGGAAAGGGGAAGCUCAGAAGGCUGUUCAAUACAUUUAAUUCCCAGGUUAAUAAUCGGACCUGUGUAAAAUUAACCACACAAUUAUAAUCCUUUACAAUUGUUAGAAUUGUAUUGCCUUCUAACAUAAUUUUGCAUUAAAAAAAACCUCUUUUGUGUAAAGAAUAUAUGGAUCUUAAUAUGCAGAAAAGACCUUAGUAAGCACUUCUUAUUGCCUGUGCCAUUUUUCAUUAAACAACAAGAAUUUUUCAGACUAUAAUCCAGCAGAUUGAUGAGGUUUGGCAAGAGAUUAUAAUAUUUAAAAAUCAUAGCUUUGAAAAGUUUUUUUUUAAUUUUUCCACAUUAAUAGAAAAAACCUUAAAAAGGAGAAACAUAUUUUCCUUUGCUACACUAAAAUCUUUCUCAAAGACAUGAACCUGCUUCCAUGAAAGUCAAUGGGGAGAUACGUCAAAGAGAGGAGACAUUUUGGAAGAAAUUACCAAUACAGCUGAGCCUUUUCCUCACACAAGUAGUGCUUUUGUGCCAUAUUGCACCUGCUACAGUUGGACAAUUUUUCCCUACUUUGUUUUCCACAAUUGUUGUAGUAACACACUGCCAAUAUACUUUGCAAUUACUGGGUGUCUCAGCUUUUUAACUCAACUGGUCCUGUACUCUUUACUCUGACAAACAAACAGGUUUUUCGGAAUUUUUUUAAUUGCUUUUGUCAAGGGUCUAGCUAUCAUUUUGAAAUAUGCACAAAUACUUACACGCUUCCUUGUAACCAGGCUCCUAAGGUAACCCUGCUCCACCAACCCGUUCUAUCUGCAGUGUAUGCAGCAUGUUCUCUCUACCACUGAAUUAUGUUAGCUUUUAGUGAAGGUACUGGGUUCCAGUUUUCUCUCAGCUGUGAUGACUGACUAACUCCAGUGAAGUCAUCUCAGUUAUAGGAACAGAACUGAUAAAAGUCCACUAGUUGAGUAUGAUGCUGGAGUAGAUCCUUAGGUCUGUACAUUUAGGUAUAUGCUAUUAAAAGGUGUGAAAAGGGAAAAUGGGGCAAAUUUACCAGGCAGCACAUGAAAUGUUGCCCCACUGAGAUUAAAAUUGGAUCUCAGAGUGUACACACCAAUCCCCUACUUUGAUACUGGUUCCAAGUUGAUGAGUUUAUCUGAUGUAUCAUGUGUGCAGCAUAAGGCACACUGAAGAAACAGCGUUAGUUUUUCCUGUAUGUGCUUUUCUAAAGAAUUUCCUGGUGACUGUAUCUAACAUCAUAGUCUGGGGUCCCUAGCUGAGGCCUCUCACACCCUUUGUAAUUUAAAAUAAAAGCUGGCAUGAGUUCCCAAGUGCCAGUUUCACUAGCAAGAUCAUAACCAAGUUUCCCUGUGGUAUACAAUUGAAUUAUGAAUACCAGAUUAUUUGUAGAGAUCAGAUUUGCUUUAUAUUUAAACACAUUUUAAAAUGCCAGCAAGAGGAGAACAACAUAUUAGUCUGGUAUCCUGUAAUCUUAUUUAUCUACACACAGAAUAAAGUCUCAGAUGCUGAGAUCUUUUAACAGUUUUUCCAUAUUGGAUUUUUGGGUGGAUGUGGUUUCCUUUAUGUAUCCUAGUAACAUAUUUAGUUAAUUUAUCCAUCUAUGAAUAGGCAGAUAUGCAUACAUAUCCAUAUGUACAAACACAUAUAGUCCUAAUUAAAAGUGUUACACUUCCCAUUGCAGAACUAAGUCCAGAGUGAAGCAGGGUUGAGAGAUUGCUCCUGUUUUCCAUUGAUUUAGCAGAGGGAGACAGUACAGUUCCACUCACUGAUGAACAAUCCAAAAAGUGAAAUUCAGAAUGUCUUCGGCCUUCACAGUUAAGGUUGCAGUGAGAUUUUCACUCAACGUAAAAUGAAAAUCCUCCUAUUUCACACUUUAAUGAUUGAAGUCAGUGGGAAUUAGGUUCCCUGCUCAUAGAACCUUUGUAGGAUUAAGGUCUUAAUCCCCAAUCUUAUACUUCCACAUGCAUUUAACAUCAAGCCGAAGAACAGUUCCAUCCUUUGCAGUGGGACUACUUAUGCUAAAUGCUAAACAUGUGCAUAAGUGAUUGCAAGAUGGGGCCUUAAAUUGUUGUGGUAGCCUUGGCUGUUAUAAGGCAAACUGAAAAUGCAGAGACUCUUAGCAGAUAAAUUGGUACAUAAAGGAUGGAGUGAUCUGCAAACAUUUAAUAUUAAAAUAUAAACAUAAUUUACUUAUAUGAGGGAUUCUGGAGGUCCUAAGAAAUGCUCAGUAUUGGCCUAACCCUGCCCCAGUUGAAAUAAACAGGAGCUUUACCACUGAUUUCAAUGGGAGCAGAUUUAGGCUGCUCUAGUAGUCUUUUCUUAUACUAUCCCUUACCUUUUCUUAUAUGGGUUUUUCAGGUUGAUCUUACAACUAAGAUGACUAAAGAAAUAACCGUCUUGUGAAUUGGAUUGCAUCAAGGGAGUGUAGUGCUGCCAUCAUGAUGAUGCUGAAAUGUCAGGCAGCCAUAAAUUUUGAUUCAGUAGCUUUGAUGUCCUGUGUAAUGUCCAGAUACUUCUUGGAUGUUUAUACAAGACUAAUCUGUACCCAAGAAGACUGAUAAGAUGUAACGAAACACAGAAUGCCAUAUAUGUAGAUGAAGAGGGGAGGGAUUAAUAUCAUUGUCCAUACUUAGUCAAACACUUAUGCACAUCAAUAAGCAUUUUGAAUAAGUAAGACCUGAUGAAUUGGGCCUGGAAAGUUAAUAGUUUACUUGAUAACUGGUUUGGAAAAAUCCACUGUUUUCUAAGUUCUCACCAGAAUUACAAGAUGAUAUUUUGAAACCAUUAAUAAAUACAAACAGUACACUUUAUAUUAAAAAUGAAAUAUGGGAAAUUUGCCAGAUAUAAGUUUAGAAAUUAAGGGUCAAAUGUGACAAAUAUUCUUCUCAGAUACCUUGCAAGGGAAAAUCCUAAAAUAUUUGUUUUAUAUUGCAUCUCAUAUUAAAUUAAUAUCACUUUGUGCAUGGUUCUUUUUAAGUCAUAAGAAAUGAAAAAGCACAUGUUAUUCUGCAUCAAUUUAUUUACCUAUAGGGUAUUUGUUGUCAUAUCAGCUGUCACACACUGAAACCUGAUGUUGGUAGUAAUUAUUAAAGAAAAAAGUACCUGUACAUUUUUGUCAUUUGAUUUCUGUAAUUUGUGGUGAAUGUUGUUUAUGGAAUAAAUAGAUCGAAUGCAUGUGAAUAGCAUGGGAAAUCAAUAAAAUAAACCCUGUAUUCAUUUCAAAUGUCAAAUAUUUUUUGCCAAUGUACAUGUUUUGAAUUGUAGUGAUUUUUCCAUUUAGGAAUAUGUUGCCCUCAUUAGCCUGCCUCCUUUUAAGUCAAAUAUUGAUUAUUUUGUAGGUGCUCUUCUAAUUAAUGGAAUAGAGGUUCUUGAUAAAUAAGUAUACACUGAUCAAUGUUAAAUGUUGGAGCUAAACUAACUUCUUUUUAAUUUAGGAAAAUUGUGGAUUUGUGAUUAAGCUAUAGGGGAAUGGGAGGCAGUUAUACUAUGUUUAUUUUUAUGGUUUAUAGUUGAGAAUUUUUAUAUUAUCUCACCUUUUCCUCAUGGAAUGAAUAGUAAAACAUGGAGGAAUACAAUGACAGAAUAAAGUUAAAUACAUUUGUAUCACAAA